ACGACGGGAAUUCGAGCCGCGAUUAAUGGCGGCAGCCGGGCAGCAAGUCAGCAACACUAGGAGGAAAGCUGAGCAGUUCGCCUGAAACAGCUGGAAUUAUGGCGGCGGCCGGGCAGCAACACUAGGAGGAAGGAUUAAUUGAGCGAAUGAACAGAAGAAGGGCUUGUAGUUUGUCCGUCAAGCCGAACAAACUACUCAGGCAGAAAUGCAGUAACCAGUACCACACAAAAUGGCUACAUACCCGAUGAUUUGACAAAGUUGGAUACAUCACCUGCGAUCAGAUGUGCCAACAGAAGGAGGGAAUGGAGGUUUAGCAGCAUAUGCCUGUCGGAUGGCUGACCACUUUGAAACCAUGGAAAACAGUAACCAGCCGUGUGUCGCCCAGCCAAGGAGAAAACUUGUAAAAUGAAAAAAAGGCUCAUGUAGUGAACAGUCACCAAAAACCCUCAAUGCACUGUAGACUGUUAGUUCAUCACUGAAAUAAACAAGAAUACAGACUCCAGGUAUCACAUAAAACAGAGACUUUGUAAUUCCAAACAAAAAAAGAAUGCCAAUUACAGAAAAAUGGUUUAGUGCUUUCAUCCAUUCAACCUUGGACUUUUCAGAACCAUUUGACUUACAUAUAAAACCUCUUUUUAUUUAAAAAUCAUGCAGUCAUGUGAUGGUUCAAUUAGUACAGCAUUUAAAUUUUUUAAAGAGAUAGUGUUACAUUUAAGAAUGUAAAAUGUGGUUCAUCACAAGACACAAUGUAAAAAAACAUCGACCAACAACCUAAAAAUACUGUGAAACAGUAUGUGACAAAAUGAAUGAAUAAAAACAAUAAUGUAGUAAACUAAACAUUGUUCACUAACCCUUAUGGGUUUGUGAGUUACUCAAAUUUGAAAACAAAUUGAAAAAAAAAUCAUACAAGGUGGGUUUAAUAUAAGUUUUGACUCAUUCUGUAAGAUCCCUUCUCAAACUCUGUUUUAAAAGUAGGGAUCGAAAUAGACCUUCAUAUGUGUUGCUUGGUUCUUUCUCUUUAUUUAUAGUUUAGUUAACAUUAGUUUAAGUAUUAGUGCCAAUGAGGUGUGGUCAUUUAAACCAGGAAUUUUAGGAAUUGUGUUGUCAAAUGAGCUUCUUUCUCUCUCUCUCUCUCUCUCUCUCUCUCUCUCUCUCUCUCUCUCUCU